rnacentral:rRNA from 1 species
GGCGGACGGGUGAGUAACGCGUAGGAAUCUACCUAUUGGUGGGGGAUAGCCCAGGGAAACUUGGAUUAAUACCGCAUAAGCUCUUAGGAGGAAAGCGGGGGAUCUUCGGACCUCGUGCCAAUAGAUGAGCCUGCGUAAGAUUAGCUAGAUGGUGGGGUAAUGGCCUACCAUGGCGACGAUCUUUAGCUGGUCUGAGAGGAUGAUCAGCCACACUGGGACUGAGACACGGCCCAGACUCCUACGGGAGGCAGCAGAGGGGAAUAUUGCACAAUGGGCGCAAGCCUGAUGCAGCCAUGCCGCGUGUGUGAAGAAGGCCUUAGGGUUGUAAAGCACUUUCAGUGGGGAGGAAAGGUUAUAAGUUAAUACCUUAUAGCUGUGACGUUACCCACAGAAGAAGGACCGGCUAAUUCCGUGCCAGCAGCCGCGGUAAUACGGAAGGUCCGAGCGUUAAUCGGAAUUACUGGGCGUAAAGCGCAC